rnacentral:misc_RNA from 1 species
GUCUGGCCGAGAAACAUAAUCCUCAAGAUCCACCUCAUCACCCAAGUUCAUUUUUGCAGUACAAACCUGAAAUACCAGCCUCUUUUGUCGGCGAUCUGGUAAAGGGAAUUCUAUCUUUCGGUCAAGUCUUCCAGGACGUAAGAGGGCAGGAUCCAAUGUGUCAGCUCUAUUGGUUGCCAUGAUGACCUUAACAUUCACUGUCUG